rnacentral:rRNA from 1 species
AUUGAACGCUGGCGGCAGGCCUAACACAUGCAAGUCGAGCGGAUGAAGGGAGCUUGCUCCUGGAUUCAGCGGCGGACGGGUGAGUAAUGCCUAGGAAUCUGCCUGGUAGUGGGGGAUAACGUCCGGAAACGGGCGCUAAUACCGCAUACGUCCUGAGGGAGAAAGUGGGGGAUCUUCGGACCUCACGCUAUCAGAUGAGCCUAGGUCGGAUUAGCUAGUUGGUGGGGUAAAGGCCUACCAAGGCGACGAUCCGUAACUGGUCUGAGAGGAUGAUCAGUCGCACUGGAACUGAGACACGGUGCAGAGUCCUACGGGAGGCAGCAGUGGGGAAGAUUGGACAGAGGGCGAAAGCCUGAUCCAGCGAUGCCGCGUGUGUGAAGAAGGUCUGCGGAGUGUAAAGCACUUUAAGUUGGGAGGAAGGGCAGUAAGUGAAUACCGUGCGGGUUUGGCGUGACCAGCAGAAUAGGCACCGGGUAAGUUCGUG